rnacentral:tRNA from 1 species
GCCUGGGUGGCUCAGUUGGUUAAGCGUCUGAUUUCAACUCAGGUCAUGAUCUCACAGUCCGUGAGUUCGAGCCCCACGUCGGGCU